rnacentral:rRNA from 1 species
GAUGAACGCUAGCGGCAGGCUUAAUACAUGCAAGUCGUGGGGCAGCAUGAAUGUAGCAAUACAUUUGAUGGCGACCGGCAAACGGGUGCGGCACACGUACACAACCUUCCUAUAAGUCGGGCAUAGCCCAGAGAAAUUUGGAUUAAUACCCCGUAACAUAACGAUGUGGCAUCACAUUGUUAUUAUAGCUUCGGCGCUUAUUGAUGGGUGUGCGGCUGAUUAGAUAGUUGGCGGGGUAACGGCCCACCAAGUCUACGAUCAGUACCUGAUGUGAGAGCACGAUCAGCAACACGGGAACUGAGACACGGGCCCGACUCCGACAGGAGGCAGCAGUAAUGAAUAUUGGUCAAUGGACGCAAGUCUGAACCAGCCAUGCCGCGUGAGGGAUUAAGGUCCUCUGGAUUGUAAACUUCUUUUAUCUGAGACGAAAAAAGGCUUUUCUAAGUCACUUGACAGUACCAGAUGAAUAAGCACCGGCUAACUCCGUGCCAGCCGCCGCGGUAAAAC